rnacentral:rRNA from 1 species
GUCCUAAGAGCCAAGCAAGCGUGGCGUCUCGUGGAUAAUCCUGAAUCGUUAUGUGCAACAAUCCUAAGAGCCAAGUAUUUCCCCGAAGGUGAUUUGAUGAGCGCAGUAUUAAAAAGGGCCUCCUUUACUUGGCAAAGCAUUAUGGCGGGAGUGGACUCUCUCAAGAACGGCUAUAUAUGGAGAGUGGGAACGGGAGAAAAUAUUGACAUAUGGAGAGAUGCAUGGCCAAAUUGUGCAGACAGGAAAAUUAUUACACCUAGAAGGGGGAAUCUACUGACGAAAGUUUCUGAUCUUAUUAACCCAGUCACAAACGGUCGGGAUGAAGAGUUGGUGAGACAAACUUUAUGGCCAAUUGAUGCCCGUAGAGUACUAGCGAUCCCGAUCCCUAUGCAUAAUAUGUCGGAUUUUAUUGCAUGGAGCUAUACAAAAAACGGUUUAUUCACUGUACAAUCAGCUUAUGUGGAGGAAUGGAAUAAGCAACAUGGGAGGAAGUUGGAAUACUCGAAUGGCAUGGGCAGAAGUAACGUCAAUCCUAUUUGGGGUAAGAUCUGGAAAUUAGCUUGUCCGGCAAAGGUUAAAAAAUUUAUUUGGCGGACGCUUCACGGGACCCUACCGUGUCGUGUUACAUUGGCCAACAGACAUAUAAAAACUCAGCCAAUAUGCCCAGCAUGUUUGGAUGGGCCAGAGGACACAAAACAUAUAUUAUUUCUGUGCCAGAAGGCAAAGGAAGUGUGGGAAUAUUUGGGGUUGUAUGAAGUGGUGACAAAAAGCCUGCGUCAUUGA